rnacentral:piRNA from 1 species
GUUGGGUGUGAUGGCACAAUCCUGUGU